rnacentral:rRNA from 1 species
AUUGAACGCUGGCGGCAUGCCUUACACAUGCAAGUCGAACGGUAACGGGCCUUCGGGUGCCGACGAGUGGCGAACGGGUGAGUAAUGUAUCGGAACGUACCUUUCAGUGGGGGAUAACGUAGCGAAAGUUACGCUAAUACCGCAUAUUCUGUGAGCAGGAAAGCAGGGGAUCGCAAGACCUUGCGCUGAUUGAGCGGCCGAUAUCAGAUUAGCUAGUUGGUGAGGUAAAGGCUCACCAAGGCGACGAUCUGUAGCGGGGUCUGAGAGGAUGAUCCGCCACACUGGAACUGAGACACGGUCCAGACUCCUACGGGAGGCAGCAGUGGGGAAUUUUGGACAAUGGGGGCGAACCCUGAUCCAGCCAUGCCGCGUGAGUGAAGAAGGCCUC